rnacentral:rRNA from 1 species
GAUGAACGCUGGCGGCGUGCUUAACACAUGCAAGUCGAACGAUGAAGCCCAGCUUGCUGGGUGGGUUAGUGGCGAACGGGUGAGUAACACGUGAGUAACCUGCCCUUAACUCUGGGAUAAGCCUGGGAAACUGGGUCUAAUACCGGAUAGGAGCGUCCACCGCAUGGGGGGUGGUGGAAAGAUUUAUCGGUUUUGGAUGGACUCGCGGCCUAUCAGCUUGUUGGUGAGGUAAUGGCUCACCAAGGCGACGACGGGUAGCCGGCCUGAGAGGGUGACCGGCCACACUGGGACUGAGACACGGCCCAGACUCCUACGGGAGGCAGCAGUGGGGAAUAUUGCACAAUGGGCUCAAGCCUGAUGCAGCGACGCCGCGUGAGGGAUGACGGCCUUCGGGUUGUAAACCUCUUUCAGUAGGGACGAAGCGAAAGUGACGGUACCUGCAGAAGAAGCACCGGCUAACUACGUG